ACAAGAACAAUAACAAGCAACGUACAAGACAAUAAAAAUAAGACGAAUCGACUCACGCAUAACAAAAACAACACGGCGGAGGCGCAGCUAACUGAUUCUUUUGGAGAGGCGUUGUAUUUGGGGCUUGCCCCACGACCAGGCCGAGAACAACAAAAACUGCACUUGACGCAGAGCCUGAACUGGUUGGAUCCACGGAUCACCACAACACAGCGACCAAAACAAUCCGUUUGCUCUUAUCUCCCGAUUGGGAGAUGUCACAGGCAAGAAGACCUGCGACACAGGGCAAUCACAAAAACAAGAAGCCCGCGACCAUAAUAAAAAGAGCACACAACUACUUCUGGGGGAGCCUCGAGCUCCCCUUGUAGUUUCCGCAACAUCCUUCCCGCCCCU
rnacentral:sRNA from 1 species